AAAAGCCAAUGAUGACAGCAAUUGAAUUCCAAAAAUGUUAGAACACAGAAUAAAAAUACACAGAAAACUCUCCUUCAAGACCACAUUAAUGAAAAUGAUACAAUCUUGCUCUGAAGCAAAUUAACAGUACACUUAAAAGUACCAGUCCUACCCACCACAGAGAUUCUUGACCAGAGGGACUGAGCUAAGAUUUUCCCAUCACCCAUUUUAUACCUCUUUCACCCACUAUCACACAACCACUAAACAAAGCUACAAAAUACAAUUUUUAAAAAAAAGGGGCCAGGCAUGGUGGCUCAUGCCUGUAAUCCCAGCACUUGGGGAGGCUGAGGCGGGCAGAUCACCUGAGGCCAGGAGUUCCAGACCAGCCUGGCCAACAUGGCGAAACUCCUAUUAAAAUCUCUACCAAAAAUACAAAAAUUAGCCAGGCGUGAUGACACAUGCCUGUAGUCCCAACUACUCGGGAGGCUGAGGCAGAAGGAUCGCUUGAACCUGGGAGGCGGAGGUCGCAGUGAGCCAAGAUCGCCCCACUACACUCCAGCCUGGGAGACAGAGCGAGACUUCAUCUCAAAAAAAAAAAAAAAAAAAAAAGAAAGAAAGAAAGAAAAAAGCUGUAACCCCAAAGGAGUUUUAUUCCCUAAUCCUUUUUGUAUCAAAACAUAUCGACCCCGAUUCAACUAAUCAUUAUCCUAUAGAGGAUAAAGCAAAAAGUAAGAAAAUCAUCUAUGUUUGGCUUUGGAAUUCAAGAGAUUUUUUGAACAAAUAACCUUCUGGAAUGUUAUAGUUUGGCUAAUACUAGUUAGCACAAAUCCUGAUCCAAAAAUCAUCCAGCCUUUGCAAAUUACUUUGCUCAACGGUAUUGACUUACUGCUACAAAAUGAGUAACUGAGGGUUUAAAGUAUGUAUUAAAUCAGACGUGAUUUGCUGUAACUGAUCUUUGCCAGUUAGCAAUAAAAUAAGUUUACAUUCUAUUUCUACACAUCAGCUAAACUUGAAAGGAAGGUAACCCAAACAAAUGCUAAGUGACAUAAGAGAAAAUGAAAUUUAAAAUGCACUAUGGAAUCUGAACAGAUUCUUCAGAACUGUCGAAAUCAUCAAAACCAAAGAAAGUCUGAGAAACUGUCACAGUCUAACAAAGCCUAAGGAGACAUGACAAUUAAAUGUAAUAGGGGUAUCUUAAAUGAGAUCCUAGAAAAGAAAAACAUAUUAGGCAAAAAAAUAAAGGAAAUCCAAAUAUAUACUUUAGUUAAUAAUAAAGUAUCAAUAUUGGUUCAUUAGUUAAUUUUUAAAAAUACACUGCAUGACACAAAGGAGCUAAGGGGGUUAAACAAAGGCAAUUCUGUAUUUCUGUUACUGAAUAUUCCAGUUAAGAAAAACUGAGAAUUCUAAUCUUUGAAAAAAGAAAUGCUUUCCCUCUUCCCUCACUACCAAGAAAAACAAGGGCAAUAUUAUCACCAUAAUAAAAAACACUUCAGUAACAAGAUGUGGUGUGUGCUGAACCAAACAGAAGGACACUGCCUGUGAAGAGCAGGCUCAAGCUAAAUUAACCAGCUUUUUAGUUACCACCUGGGUCCUUCCGGUACCCCAUUCCUCAGUGCUACACCUCCACUUGGAACUCAGGACUGCCUCCAGCAGCUGAUGCUACCCUGUACUGUCCAGCUGCUCUCUUCUCAGGGGAGCUUAGAAGAAGGAAAUAGAGUGCCACAGAUGGAAGAAAUGAAAAAGGGGUUAGCUAGAGAGACAGAGGCAGACUAAUUACCCCAAGAGGGAGGUAGACGCUGUCCCUAGAGCAAAGAAAAGGGCAAGACAAAUAUAUUCCAUCUGAAAAAACCUUAUUAUGCUUUAAGAUACGUCUGAUUUAAGUAACAACAUUCUUAAGUAAAUAACAGGUUUUAUUUUUAAGAAAAGCUAAAAUAUUAUAUAAAUAACACUGACUAUGCAAACUAAAACAGUACAGGACAAGCUUUGGAACAAUAAAUAUGAUCAUAUACCACUCCUAAUUGUAUUUCAGUUUAUUAUUUCAAUCACUUCACUUUGAUAAAUUUUUAAGUUAUUUACGGCCAGGUGCAGUGACUCACGCCUGUAAUCCUAGCACUUUGGGAGGCCGAGGCGGGUGGACUGUCUGCGCUCAGGAGUUCGAGACCAGCCUGGCGAACACGGUGAAACCCCAUCUCUACUAAAAAUACAAAAAAUUAGCCGAGUGUGGCAGCAUGUGCCUGUAAUCCCAGCUACUCGGGAGGCUGAGACAGGAGAAUCGCUUGAACCCAGGAGGUGGAGGUUGCAGUGAGCUGAGAUUGCGCCACUGCACUCCAGCCUGGGCGACAAAGCAAGACUCCAUCUCAAAAAAAAAGCUAUUUACCAUUCAUUAGCAUUCAGUAAAGUCUGACAGCAGUUAAAACCCUACCUCCUGCCUGUAAUCCCAGCAGUUUGGGAGGCCAAGGCUGGCGGAUCACAAGCUCAGGAGAUCGAGACCAUCCUGUCUAACAGUGAAACCCCGUCUCUAUUAAAAAUACAAAAAAUUAGCCGGGCGUGGUGGUGGGCGCCUGUAGUCCCAGGUACUCAGGAGGCUGAGGUAGUAGGAGUAUGGCAUGAACCCAGGAGGCAGAGCUUGCAGCAAGCAAGCUCCACUGCACUCAGAGAGCGAGAUCACGCCACUGCACUCCAGCCCGCGGGACAGAAUGAGACUCCGUCUCAAAAAAAAAAAAAAAACCAACCUCCCAAAAUUAUUUUCAUUCACGUUCAAGAUCACUAUCUAUUUUUUUUUUUGAGACAGAGUCUCACUCUGUCGCCCAGGCUGGAGUGCAGUGGCAAGAUCUCGGCUCACUGCAACCUCCGCCUCCUGGGAUCAAGCAAUUCUCCUGCCUCAGCCUACUGAGUAGCUGGAACUACAGGUGCGUGCCACCAUGCCCAGCUAAUUUUUGUGUCUUCAGUAGAGAUGGGGUUUCACCAUGUUGGCCAGGAUGGUCUCUAUCUCCUGACCCUGCGAUCUGCCUGCCUCAGCCUCCCAAAAGUGCUGGGAUUACAGGCGUGAGUGAGCCAUGGCACCCAGCUGAUCACUAUUUUAAAGGUACAAGUAACUACCAUUUUUGAAAAUUACGCUAAAAAUCAAAGCUAGAGAAAAAUGUUUAAGACUGUAACCUAGUUUCAGUGGAGAAAACAUAUCUGACUGGUAACAUGAAACCUAGAAGACAAAACUGACUUUUAACAAUAUCCAUCAAAGCAGCUCACAUCUAACUUUAAUAGUCUUUUAACUUUCACAAUAUUUUUUCUAUUACGGUAAAACUAGGCCAGGUGCAGGGGCUCACACUUGUAAUCCCAGCACUUUGGGAGGUUAAGAUGGAAGGAUCACUAGAGUUCAGGAGUUCAAGACCAGCCUGGUCAACACAGCAAGACCCCAUCUCUACUUAAAAAGAAAAAAAGAAAAAAAAAAUUAAACAUUAUGUAUCUCUUAAAAUUAUCUUUGAUUCUACAAAGUGUAUUUCAUGGAAUCUUAAAAAAAGAUCUGUUUAGUCUGUUUAGAUGCUCUGCCAACUUUAUUAAGAAGACCAAAGCCCCUAAGUCACCAUUAUAGUUUUAUCAAUAAUUAUGUUUUAUCAACAAAUAUAUUUUAUCAAUAGUUUAUAGUUUUUCAACAAUGUUAUACAGUCUCCAAACAUUCUAGUAAGGUGAUUUUUAUGACCACUUAACGAUUAAAAUAACUCAAAUACUAUAUCCAAAACAAUGAAAGAAAAAGGAGGCUGGCGGACUUAGCUUUUGGCAUAAUUAGAAAGUAUUGUCUCGCUAAAACUACCAUAUAUACAUACAUCAUGUAUAUGUACAUAUAUGUAUAUACAUAUACACAUCACUUUACACAUUUAGAACUACAUUAAAUACACACAACUAAGGACUGGACUCUGCAGCAGGCAUCUUAUUAGAAAAACUACAAAAGCUGGAAAGCUUUCUUGAAGAAUUGCAGUCACUCUCAAAAAUAACAAUUAACACUGGAGAGUAUGUUCAUUAGAAUGUGAAAAGCAAUUAUCAAAACAUACAAAUGUAACACGUACAUUCCUACAUAAAUGUUGGUCUUA
rnacentral:lncRNA from 1 species